GCCAGACUCCUACGGGAGGCAGCAGUGGGGGAUAUUGCACAAUGGGGGAAACCCUGAUGCAGCGACACCGCGUGGGUGAGGAAGCGAUUCGGCGUGUAAAGCCCUAUCAGUGGGGAAGAAAAAGGACGGUACCCAAAGAGGAAGCACCGGCUAAAUACGUGCCAGCAGCCGCGGCAAUACGUAUGGUGCAAGCGUUAUCCGGAAUGACUGGGUGUAAAGGGAGCGUAGACGGUUGUACAAGUCUGAUGUGAAAGCCCGGGGCUCAACCCCGGGACUGCAUUUGAAACUGUCAGGCUGGAGUGCGGGAGAGGUAAGUGGAAUUCCUAGUGUAGCGGUGAAAUGCGUAGAUAUUAGGAGGAACACCAGUGGCGAAGGCGGCUUACUGGACUGUAACUGACGUUGAGGCUCGAAAGCGUGGGGAGCAAACAGGAUUAGAUACCCGAGUAU
rnacentral:rRNA from 1 species